UAGCUAUUUAGGUUAGAGUUUGAUCCUGGCUCAGGACGAACGCUGGCGGCGUGCUUAACACAUGCAAGUCAAGGGGGCUUGGGGCAACUCGAGCAACCGGCGAACGGGUGCGUAACACGUGAGCAACCUGCCCUCGUGUGGGGGAUAGCCGGGCUAACGCCCGGGUAAUACCGCAUACGUGUGGUCCGGGGAGUCCCGGGCCACGGAAAGUUCGUGGCAACACGGACGCACGGGGAGGGGCUCGCGGCCUAUCAGCUAGUUGGGGGGGUAACGGCCCACCAAGGCGACGACGGGUAGCUGGUCUGAGAGGAUGGCCAGCCACAUUGGGACUGAGAGACGGCCCAGACUCCUACGGGAGGCAGCAGUGGGGAAUCUUGCGCAAUGGCCGAGAGGCUGACGCAGCGACGCCGCGUGUGGGAGGACGCCUUUCGGGGUGUAAACCACUGUUGCCCGGGACGAACACGGCUAUUAGUAGCCGCUGACGGUACCGGGUGAGGAAGCACCGGCUAACUCCGUGCCAGCAGCCGCGGUAAUGUCGGGCC
rnacentral:rRNA from 1 species